GACGAACGCUGGCGGCGUGCCUAAUACAUGCAAGUCGUGCGAACAGACCAUUUGCUUGCUCCUCUGAUGUUAGCCGCGUACGUGACAGUUACAUGUGGUUAACCCACCUUUAAGAUAGGGAUAACUUCGUGAUACCGGUGCUAAUUCCGGAUUAUUUCUUCAUCCGCAUGGUUCAAUAGUUAAAGCCGUUUUUGCUGUCCUUUAUAGCUGUCUCCGUGCCGCUUUAGUUAGUUGGUAAGGUAACGGCUUACCAAGGCCACGCUGCGUAGCCGACCUGACAGGGUGAACGGCGACACUGGAGCUGAGACACGGUACAGAGACCUACAGAAGGCAGAAGUAGGGAAUCGUCGGAGAUGGGGGAAAGACUGACGGAGCAACGCCGGGUGAGUGAUGAAAGUCUGCGGAUCGUAAAACUGUGUUAGUAGGGAAGAACAAAUGUGGAAGUAACUAUGCACGUCUUGACGGUACCUAAUCAGAAAGCCACGGCUAACUACGUG
rnacentral:rRNA from 1 species